rnacentral:snoRNA from 1 species
UUGUCUGUUGUCAAUGAUGCAUUCUUGUUGGAACUGAAUCAAAAUGAUUUAAUUCAACAAUUCGUCACUACCACUGAGACAACACUGAA